GCAGGAGAAUCGCUUGAAUCCGGGAGGCGGAGGUUGCAGUGAGCCGAGAUCAUGCCAUUGCACUCCAGCCUGGGACUCUGUCUCAAAAAACAAAAACAAAAACAAAAAACAAACAAAAAACCAUAAAUUCACAGUUCAGUGGCAAUUUUAAAUGGAAAGACACGCCUUAUUCACUAUGAUGCUUUUAUUGCUAAUUCAUUCAGUGAAGAGGAAUUAUGCAAGGUUUAAAAUGGCUUGCCUGUCCUGGUAUAUCCAAAACUCUUAAUUCAGAAGAUUCAUCUAUUUCUCCAAGAGAAGAAGCUCGUGGUGGGGCUGGAGGAGGUUCAGGCUCAAGAUCAAAGUCCAAUUUGGUUACUGUAGAAUCACUUAUAGAAGAUAAAGUAACUCACCAAAACAGUAAUAGAAAGUCUGUAUUUUAAACAGCUUUAAAAUUAAAGCAAACAAUUUACUUUUUAAGUAAACAGAACACUACUUUCAAAAUACUACUUGGGAAAAAAGCAAGACUCAGUACACCUGCUAUAAUCAGUACGUAAGAAUGUCCCAAUAACUUUGUAUAAGAGAUGCUUAAAAUCUCAGACACAUACCUAGCUGGAGGUGCUAGUUGAGGGAUGCGUACAUCAACCACUGGCACUGUAGUAGGCACAGGAGCUUGAGGGCUGAAGGUGCCAGAAUGAUUUACUGUAGGAAUAGCUCUUCUUACUAGCCUUCCCCAAGUGGCAAUAUUAAUAUUCAUUUGAGGAGCUCUGAGAAAUGUUUUGCCUUGUUGCUUUGAAAAAAUUUUCUUUUGUCUUUGAAGUUUUGGUCUUCUUUCAAUAACUGGAUUAAAAAAGGUAACCUCUGCAAAUAAAGUACCCUGUGGUUCCAAAUAGAGACACAUGCCAUGCCGUUGGUUGUCUAAAAAAUCUUCUAACCUCAGAAAUUUUACAGCACACAGAGACCGCCAAUCACGCCAAUAAACUGAAAUUUCCAGUUCACGUGACCUGUCCAGUUCCAGUGUAAACUUCUGGUCCCAUGACUGAUUGGAAAUGGGUUUCCAGCUAGUUUGGCCAACCACAGUAUUAUCGAGCUUCAAAACAGCACAGACAUCAUUGGACAAGUCAUCGGUUUUUAGAAGAUUUCGACUACUUCCGCUUUUACUUUUACUCGUUCUGCUCAUGAAAGAUGAUCUGGUUUCACUUGGACUCCAACCAGGCAGUGCAACUGAUGUUGCUUUUGACCGUCCAGGGACAUUCUCUAGGAUAUCUUGGCAGCCCAUAAGACGAACUUCCAAAGUACCUGUUAGUGCUGCUGGUUUGGAUAGUGUACUAUAUUGAUUUUGCGUAGAUAUCAUACUUUGACGUGGACUUAGUGUUGGUGAUGCAGCAACAAGUGAAAGUUCUUCAAUAAUAAUCCUGCUUUUGGGAUGAUUCUUGGGGACUUCGUUUAAUCUUUGCUCUAAUGAAUACUUUAAAAGGUCCAACUUCUGACUUGAUUCAUUAAAUCUUGCUUGAGCUUCUGAAAGUGCUUUUCUGUCUGUUACUUUUCCUGAGCCAAGUAAUUUCAUUACAUUCUUUGCACCUUCUGCUACUGCAAACUCUAUCCUAAAAUGAUGCCUUAAUUCUUCCAUCCGAAGUUCAAGAGGACUUAUCACAGGUUUUGCAUUAUCAAAAGCCAAUUCAUUAGUCUGGACUGCCUGAAGAAUCUGCAUUCGUAUGACUUCUAUUUUUGUCUUGCUGUCCUGGAGCAGUUGCUGAGCUGUACCAUGGAGUUUCCGAUCCUUUGAAGAUCCAUUUGAAUACAUCUGUAUCAUAUUCUCUGCACCUUGUUUUACUUUAAGUUCUAUAUCCAAUUGUUUUUGUAAGGCCUUCAAUCUAUUGUUGCUAGUAGAACAACGAGGGUCAUUAUUUGGAGUAUCUGGAGUCCUUGGGCAAUCUGUAAUAUCUUCUGGAUCUGAUACAACAAUAUGUGCAUUUAAUUCCUGCAGCUUGUGAUGUAGUUCUUCUAAUUUUUUAUUUGAUUUUUUCAAAAUGUUGUCUACAUAAGCCAAACUUUUUUUAUCUGUUGUGACUUUCCUCAGAUUUUCAGCUCCUUCUUUGAUUUUCAGUUCUUUCCUUAUUUCUCUCUUAAUUCGAUCCUUGAUAUCAUCCAAUUUCUGCUGCACCAUUGUAUCUGAAAAGUCUAAUUUUUGAACAGCACUCACAUUCUCAGAAAACGGAAGACUUCGGGAAUCCCCCUGCAGUUCCGUGAGCAGAAUCUCCCCCCGUUCGGGGUUGGACGCCAUUGCGCUCCGGUAUGGACUCCGCACCUGGAC
rnacentral:lncRNA from 1 species